UACAACCAUAUCACAUUGAAACAUUGGUUCUUGUAUGACCACUGAAGUUAAGCAACAUUGAGCCUGGCCAGCACUUAGAUGGCUGACCACUUAGUAAUACCAGGUGUUGUAAU